CUCCCCUCCUUAUAUAAAAUUCGUCCUCGAAUUUAAAAGAGUAAAUUACCUGAUUACUCAAAGGGGUAAGUAGAGCAACAAUACUAUCAGAAGCUUUUCUGCUCGGUGUGGUAUUGGAAAUCAAAUCAAUUGGAAGUGUUUUACCUUCUAUCUCUACCACACAGGUAGGAUACAUAUAUUUUGCUUUUAUACUAUCCCCUACAGGUGUACUAAUAGCUAAGAGAAUAUGCAUUAAUAUCUUAUCCUUAGCUAACUUUUUAGCAAAAUAAGGGGAUACAAAUGAAUGGGUAGCUCCAGAAUCAAAUAACACUCUAGCUUUAAUCUCAUCAA
rnacentral:lncRNA from 1 species